CUCUUCAAUUCCCGCAGUCAUGCUUGCUUGCUUGCUUUCAGAGCUGCCAAAUGAGAGAAGCUUCCAGAAUGCUGCUGAAAGCAAUGAUUUGCAUCUUAUGGAGAAGCUGUUUGAAAAGAAGGUUAAUAUUAAUGCUGUGAACAAUGAAGCAUGGCUUGACAGUACUUCACCUUGCAGCCUGGUCUGGAAGUCUCGAGAGCGUGCUCAUGUUGACUCGAGCUGGAGCGGACCAGAGAGCCGAGAGGCAGGCAGGUAUGUGGAUCGCCCCGGGACCCACGCCCUCUCUCACAGCGCAGGAGGGGGAAGGCUGCAGAGAAUGGCCGCCCCUCCCCCGGCCCUCUUAGGAUGGCAUGGAUGCCGCCCACUCUGCCGCUCAGAGCAAUAGCGUGUGCAUCGUGGACCACCUCACUCAAGAUGGGUACCCGCACGACCUGGGCCAGCCUGAUGAGGUGUGCUAGCUGUGGGUCUCAAAUAAACCCCACUGAAUCGCACUGUCUUCCUGUCCCUGCUGGAACUGCCAGAGCGGCCGGCACAGACGGACCGGCCCUGCAGCUGACUCCUCCUGCACUCUGGCAGACCACGGAGCAGAAGGUAGUUAUCGGUGCUGGCGGUGGCCUCGGCCCCUGCAUG
rnacentral:lncRNA from 1 species